GCAACGCUACUCACUACAAGGUCUGCAGCGAGCACUUCGUUUCUGGAAGGCCAUCCUACCUGAUGGACGUUACAAACCCAGACUGGGCACCCAGCUUACACUUGGGGUAUGACAGAAACUCAACUGCUAAAUCUGAAGCAAGGCACCAGCGACGUUGCAAGAGGGCUGCGACCUCAAAGGAGAUCCAAGAGGGCAAUAGCAGAGUUCUCCAGCCUUCAAAUGUGUUGAACGUGCAGCACAGCGCUGUGUGCAGAACUGUCACGGGUACAAUGGCUUAUUCAUACAUGGGGACUAUUUCCUUUAAUGACAUUCAGCAUCUUUAUAGCACCUUGAUUCUAUACAGGCACACCACUUGCAUGCCCUGUUACAGCACAUAACAAGGAAGCUGAUGAGCCACAUGCGCCUCGUUGCGCACUCAACAGCGGUUCAGGUCAGUGCCCUAGAUAAGCUGUUCAUACAGGCUGGAUUUUACAUCACAGUGUGCUUGUAAUGGAAUUAUAUUGUUCCCGAUGGUCUUUGAGCUAGCAGGCAGUGGCAAGUUGUGUACUUUUAAUUUUUGCAUGGUUGGUCUUUCUGACAAAAAUUACAAAACCUCACUAUUUGCUCAUCCUCUACCCUAUUGCUUGCAGUAAACAGCGUCAUAUAUCCAACAGUCCUACAGCGUAAACUAUUUGGUGCUUCCCUCUCUCUGGAGUAGUGGGCCCAUUAUGUGAGCACAAAAUUGGUGGUUGUGAAAUAGCAAUGACAACACUUCAA
rnacentral:lncRNA from 1 species